AUUUGUUGAAGCUGAAAGGCAGCCUACGACCUAGGACGUCACAGCCAGAGCUGCGUCUGGCAAGGUGCCAUGGCUAGCUCUCCACAGAAGUGGCUGAGGAUUUGAGAUAAGGCUGGAGAGCGACAAGGAGCAGCACAUGCAGUGAUGGUUUCCAAGCGCUGCGGUUGCUCUCUUCUGAUUAUCAGGUGCCACAGGCAAGGUGAAGAGGUGCCUGAAGCCCCGACCCGUGUGGGCUGAGGAUGCCUCACUGAGGAUGAAGCCUGCUUUCCAGCAGGUCCCAAAGCUGUGUUGGGGCUGAAAUGCUGUGUCUGUAUUUGGGUUGGGGUUGUGCCUUGGUGAGUGUGGGGUUGGGUUUUAAGUAGGUGCAGCAGAUAUGUAUAUAAAUGAAAUUCACAUAAAUGAUAUAUGACGAA